UAAGGAAUAUUGGUCAAUGGAGGCAACUCUGAACCAGCCAUGCCGCGUGAAGGAUGAAGGUCCUCUGGAUUGUAAACUUCUUUUAUGUGGGAAGAAACCCUUGUUUUAUAAUGAGGUUGACGGUACCAUAGGAAUAAGCACCGGCUAACUCCGUGCCAGCAGCCGCGGUAAUACGGAGGGUGCGAGCGUUAUCCGGAUUCACUGGGUUUAAAGGGUGCGUAGGUGGGAAUGUAAGUCAGUGGUGAAAUCUCUGAGCUUAACUCAGAAACUGCCAUUGAUACUAUGUUUCUUGAAUUUUCUGGAGGUCAGCGGAAUAUGUCAUGUAGCGGUGAAAUGCUUAGAUAUGACAUAGAACACCAAUUGCGAAGGCAGCUGGCUACAGGGAUAUUGACACUAAGGGCACGAAAAGCGUGGGGAUCAAACAGGAUUAGAUACCC
rnacentral:rRNA from 1 species